rnacentral:rRNA from 1 species
UACGGAGGGUGCAAGCGUUAUCCGGAUUCACUGGGUUUAAAGGGUGCGUAGGAGGGCAGGUAAGUCAGUGGUGAAAUCUUCGAGCUUAACUCAGAAACUGCCGUUGAUACUAUCUGUCUUGAAUACCGUGGAGAUGAGCGGAAUAUGUCAUGUAGCGGUGAAAUGCUUAGAUAUGACAUAGAACACCAAUUGCGAAGGCAGCUCGUUACACGAAUAUUGACUCUGAGGCACGAAAGCGUGGGGAUCAAACAGG